CUCUCCACCUCUCAAUUCCAGAGAACAAACUCAACUCUACUACAACUAAUACCAACUGCCACAUCAACUACUUUAGACUAUUACACAAGAUCUAGUAAUACAGCUACUUCUACACAAAGAUGUGCGCAGCGAUGAGGGUAGUGGUCCUACUCUUCCUGCUGUCUCUCUGGGCUGGAGCUGGGAUGGGGAUGACAACGAAUCAACUGUCUACAGUGGUGAAGUACAUGACAGACGGUCAGAAGCAGGUACAGUAUGCCAUGGCAACCGGUCUACCCAAAACUACAUGCCAAGAUGGAAAAAUGACAUUCAUAAGACCUCCAGCUUUGGAGAAAGAGCAAUUAUUCACCAGUGUUGAGUUGAUCGCAGCCCGUCCUACAGGAAAACAGGGGAAAAUGACACACUCAGAGUAUCGUCUCCUUGUUGGGGGAAAGAAUGGGCUGAUGAAAACACUGAAGAAUCAAGAAUGUGUGGUCUUCUAUAGCUAUAACUCACCCUGCAUUGAAAAAUGCAUUAUUGAUCAAAACUGUAACAUUAUUCAGUUCCUUCCUGAAGUCUUCAGCGGGGUCGACCAAAAUUAUAAGGCCUUUGUUUUCACCAAACUCUAUGCCCCUCAGUGCCAGACACUGCCCACUAGAGCUGAGGUGUAUGCAUCUUUCAAAACAAUUAAUGCCAUCCUCCCUCUGUAUAGAUGUGAUCAAAAUGUGUGCUUUCAGUGUGGUCAUAGAGAGAUGAUCCCUGAUGACCCCUGUUUACGUGGAUAUCCACAGACGUAAAGAAGCUGACCUGAAGACACAUCCCAGAUCUGUAGUGCAAAUAAAUACCUUUUUCUUCCACUCCUCUCCUCCUUUUCCAAACUCACGUUCCUUGUUCUCACUCCUUCACCUCUUUUCACUUAUCACCUCUGGACCUUGUCCAUCCUUUGCAUCUAAACUUCUACUUGGAUACUUUGUUUGAUCUGGCAGAAAAGCAUACGUGUGAACUUACGGCUGUGCCAUUCAGAUUCCCUUGAUGUGGGUGUAUUUUGUACGUUACAGUAUCAGUUCAAUAAAGGGCAUUAUAGCAGCCAAAUGACACGGUC